rnacentral:rRNA from 1 species
UACGUAGGGGGGCAAGCGUUGUCCGGAUUUAUUGGGCGUAAAGAGCGUGUAGGCGGCCAGGUAGGUCCGUUGUGAAAACUCGAGGCUCAACCUCGAGACGCCGAUGGAAACCCCCUGGCUAGAGUCCGGAAGAGGAGAGUGGAAUUCCUGGUGUAGCGGUGAAAUGCGCAGAUAUCAGGAAGAACACCCGUGGCUAAGACGGCUCUCUAGUACGGUACUGACGCUGAGACGCGAAAGCGUGGGGAGCGAACAGG